CCCUUGUGGGAGAAGAAACAAUGUUAAAAUACAAAUAAAAAAAUAUAUAACAUAAUGCAGAGUAUUCUAUAUGCCACUUGUUUGUUGUGUUAGUUAUUAGUAGUACUGCAAAUUCUAUCCAUUAAUGGACACCGAUAAACUUAUUAAAUGUAACUGUCCUUUAUGUUGCAGCAAUGGUCGCUACAAUGAUGUUACAAUGAUAUUAUGUUGUCUCUGGUUAGGUUAUUCAAGUGCACUACAAACUGUAGCAGAUGAUGUAAUAAACGAUGUUUUGUUACCAGUUCCUAUGGUGCUCCUUUAUAGUCAGCAAUCCCUCGCUGAGCUGCAGAUAUACUUGCAGAGAUGUGUGCUGGCAUGCACAGACGGCGGCUGGUCCUGACGGCGCAGGGCCCGGGUGAUACCGCCCGAUGGUACCGAGGAGAUGAAUGCAAAGCCUUGUGUUUUCAGUGUCUGACGUCAGGAGUCUUGCAGACCAUAGGAGCUGAGACUGGUUGAGUCCGGACCUAGAAGCAGGAGAAAGAAUUCUUGCAGACUGCUACCGAUACACAGCACCGCGCCUGCACUCCGCGCAAUCGAAAUGAGAUACGUGUGUGUGAUGAAUCUCAUCCCCGGGAAAAGAAUAUGAUUAUAAAGUCAGCUGACCCAGGACAGACCAAUUGCUGAGACACAUACACCUAUAAGCUGGUCUCAUGACCAAGUUACAGUUAUGAAGCAUAUGGAUGCAGCUGAGCUGGAAUGAAACAGAUGGUAGUUCAGCAAUAGUUGGUAAAAAAAAAAAAAAAAAACUUACUAUGCUUCUUCAAAUGUAUUUUUUUAUUUAUUUAUUUUUUUUUUGAAGAUAGAACACAUAAAGAAACUUUAGAACACCUCUAGGCAAAAAAGAUGUACAAUCGAAAUUAGAUUCCAAUCGGUGAUGUCAUUACCCGGGAAGCCCUUGUGGCUCAUGUAUCAUCAGGACUUUUAUUAUAAAGGACUGUAUCGAUUUGCAAAGAGUCAUAACUGAUGUAAACAAUGGCGCCGGCCUGCGGAGCACUUUAUAAACCCGACAUCCUAUUUUUAGGGGAUGCUGUGCAACUGCUGGAUAACAUGAAGAUUAAUAUAUAGAUUCAUCCUCCGAAUAGUCACCGUGGGAUACAUCUUGCCUUUGCACCGAAGCGUCUUCUGUUUACAGCUCGGCAGCUCAGGGACCGUGAUGGACCGAUAUUGACAGCUCAGACUAUUCUGGCUUGAUUGUUGUUUGCACAAGCUACAAAUUAAAGGGGUACUCCGGCCCUAAUACAUCUAAUCCCCUAUAUGCUGCACACUCGGAGCCUCCAGUGAUGCGGAGAGCUCACAAAGGUGGGUGCUGUAUGACAGAUUGCGGGGGUCCCCAGCGGCAGGACCCCCGCGAUCAGACAUCGUAUCCCCUAUCCUUUGGAUAGGGGAUAAGAUGUAUUAGGGCCGGAGUACCCCUUUAAAUUCUCCCUGCGGCUGUUUAGCCUAACAUAGCAUUUAGUGUGCUAUUUUUACACUAUACCAUAAUUCCUAGUAUCGAUUCGGCAUUGUUUUGUUUUCUUACUGCCUUUCAGGUAGGCGAAAGAAAAUGUAAGACGCUUUCAGAUUGUGAUUAAACAUUACGCAGAUCAUUAACCCAGCGUGGGGAAUUUACUGACUCAGUGUUUGUGCCUGUGUUGUGAAUGUGUUUGUCGCUGACUGCGGGUUUUAAGGAGCCGUCGAUGCAUGUCUUUAGUCUAUCAGCCUUAUGUUUACAUAGGUUUGGUGAUCUCAUGUGAGAGCGUUAUUAAGCGCAUAAGGCGUCUGUGUCACA